UGUGUGUGUGUGUGUGUGUGUGUGUACGUGUGUACGUGUGUGUGUGUGUGUGUGUCUGUUUGUGUUUGUGUGUUUGACAUAAGUACGUACGACUGUACUGGAUAGAAACUCCAGAACUGCCUGUGCGUCAUGAAAACCAGGAUUACUUGAACCUUUAGUUUGUUUCAGACAUUUACUGCACUAUUAAGGAAACUGGUUUCUUCAUCGCAUUGAUGGUCACUAAGGCACAUCAGUAUAUGCCUGAGCGCACACACUCAUGCACAUAUCAGCUAUAUGAGAACAAUACACACACAGUAACCACACACAUUUCACACAUUUAUGCGCACAUGCACUAAAGUCCAAAUGAGGUAUUUAUGUUUAUGACCCAUUAUCUAGUUUGUGUCUCAUGCAGGCUGAGGUCGGAGUGUAAAGAAAAUCAACUCCACUUCUGCUACACAUUAACGCCACUGGGAGGCAACUGCUCUUCCACCCUGUGUCAUGUCACCUCCAGACUGCACUGUGCCAGAGACUCCAGACCGAGAGGGGCUGCCUGCUUUGUUAACAAAUAAAGAACCUUUAAGUAACAAGAUGCUAUUUUCAGAGCUAAAAAAUAAAAGAUAUCUUGGAAUCUAAUGUUUUGCCUGUCUUAAUGAAAAGUAUAAAAGUAUGGAUUGUAUUUUUAAUGCAACCUUUUUUCCAGCCACUUUUUCUUAAAAAUAAAUAAAUCAAAAUGUCCAAAAAAAGCACGAGAGGCUCUGUGGUUGUGGACGCUGUCACUGUCUGUGAGGAGUUUGGGGGGUCUUCAGCCCUGCAACAUGCAGCAGGGUCACCUCGUCACCUCCAACCCUCUGGGUGUCCAGCCUCAACACUCCAAACCUCCAAGCUGAAUGUACCUCUUUGAAACUAGUAUAUUCAAAAACCUGAAGAUUUUCUGUAAUAAAGCAGAAUGUUUUGAACAUAAA